UACGGGGGGGGCAAGCGGUGUUCGGAAUUACUGGGCGUAAAGGGCGCGUAGGCGGGUGGACAAGUCUCUCGUGAAAGCCCACGGCGCAACCGUGGAAUUGCCGUAGAUACUGUCUGUAUUGAGUCCGGGAGAGGAGGGGGGAAUUCCCAGUGUAGCGGGGAAAUGCGUAGAUAUUGGGAGGAACACCGGUGGGGAAGGCGGGCCACUCGACCGGUACUGACGCUGAGGCGCCAAAGCUAGGGGAGCAAACGGG
rnacentral:rRNA from 1 species